rnacentral:tRNA from 1 species
GCCCAGGUAGCUCAGUCGGUAGAGCAGGGGACUGAAAAUCCCCGUGUCGGCGGUUCAAUUCCGUUCCUGGGCA